GGCUGAUUAGCUCAGUUGGUUAGAGCGUGGUGCUAAUAACGCCAAGGUUGCAGGUUCGAUCCCCGUACAGGCCA